GAUCAUUUUAAAAGGUCGGCUUUUGCCGGCACAAGUUCGUACCUAUGAGGCUGGCAAUAAUUGUGAUUAUAUAAUUAUACCCGACAAAUUUAUGCACAGGCCUUGCAUUAAUGAGGCAAAAAGUAGUAUAUAAUGUCUAGAAAUGUAUAAAAAAAUAAUAUUGUUUUCAGAGACAUCAUCCUAAUACGAGAAUUACAAAUAAUCACGCACAAAAUGAACAUUUUGAAAUUUGUAUUAAUUUUUCUAAUGUUCUUCUGCGCUGUUAAUAUGGUCAUGUCCAAUCAUAUAUGCAAAGAAGAAGGAGAAUCGUGUGAUGAAGAUUGCGAGUGUUGUGAAACAGGAUAUUGUGAACAGAAAAGAUGUCACAUCUCAUUCCACAUAAAUUACGCUGAACUUGAAGAGGACGAAAAUGCUAAUUUCUAAACAUUUUAUUGCAAUGCUUAAGGGUUUAUAAAUAACAAUAAAACGAAUAUAAUUAAAUUUU
rnacentral:sRNA from 1 species